rnacentral:ncRNA from 1 species
UUGGGUAUCUGUUAAUUCAGAUUUAAUAGGGAACACGGGUGAGACUCCCGGACAGUCCCGCUGCUGUAAUUCUCAGAUAUCGGUUCAGGAUGAGCAACCGCACCCAUGGAUGCAACAUACGCCACUGACUGCAAAGUCGGGAAGGUUCCUGAAACCGUGAGAUAAGUCAGAAUACCUGCCCAAUAUUCUA